rnacentral:rRNA from 1 species
AGGAUGAACGCUGGCGGCGUGCUUAACACAUGCAAGUCGAACGAUGAAGGCUGGAGCUUGCUCUGGCUGGAUUAGUGGCGAACGGGUGAGUAACACGUGAGUAACCUGCCCCAGACUCUGGGAUAAGCGCUGGAAACGGCGUCUAAUACCGGAUACGAGCUUCCACCGCAUGGUGAGGAGCUGGAAAGAAUUUCGGUCUGGGAUGGACUCGCGGCCUAUCAGCUUGUUGGUGAGGUAAUGGCUCACCAAGGCGACGACGGGUAGCCGGCCUGAGAGGGUGACCGGCCACACUGGGACUGAGACACGGCCCAGACUCCUACGGGAGGCAGCAGUGGGGAAUAUUGCACAAUGGGCGAAAGCCUGAUGCAGCAACGCCGCGUGAGGACGAAGGCCUUCGGUUGUAAACCUCUUUUAGUAGGUAAGAAGCGAAAGUGACGGUACCUGACAGAAAAAGCAACCGCUAACUACGUGCCAGCAGCCGCGGUAAUC